UGGGGAAUCUUGGACAAUGGGCGAAAGCCUGAUCCAGCGACGCCGCGUGGGGGAUGAAGGCCCUCGGGUUGUAAACCCCUUUCGGCAGGGACGAAGCGAAAGUGACGGUACCUGCAGAAGAAGCCCCGGCCAACUACGUGCCAGCAGCCGCGGUAAGACGUAGGGGGCGAGCGUUACCCGGAUUUACUGGGCGUAAAGCGCGCGCAGGCGGCCGCGUAAGUCGGAUGUGAAAUCCCACGGCUCAACCGGGGAAUUGCAUCCGAUACUGUGCGGCUAGAGGCAGGUAGGGGCGAGUGGAAUUCCCGGUGUAGCGGUGAAAUGCGCAGAUAUCGGGAGGAACACCGGUGGCGAAGGCGGCUCGCUGGGCCUGUCCUGACGCUCAGGCGCGAAAGCUGGGGGAGCAAACGGG
rnacentral:rRNA from 1 species